GAUAUAUACUGACACACACAUACACUGACAUACAAAUAUAUCCUGGCAGACAUACUGACACACACACACACACAGACAUACAUACAUACACACACAGACACAUACACUGACAGACAUACUGACUGACACACACAUACACACACAGACAUACUUACAUACACACACAGACAUACUGACACACACACACAGACAUACUGACAUACACACAGACAGACGUACUGG